rnacentral:rRNA from 1 species
UACGAAGGGGGCUAGCGUUGUUCGGAAUUACUGGGCGUAAAGAGCGCGUAGGCGGCUUAUCAAGUUGGGAGUGAAAUCCCGGGGCUUAACCCCGGAAUUGCUUUCAAAACUAAUAAGCUAGAGAAUGGUAGAGGAUGGUGGAAUUCCUAGUGUAGAGGUGAAAUUCUUAGAUAUUAGGAGGAACAUCGGAGGCGAAAGCGACCAUCUGGACCAUUUCUGACGCUGAGGUGCGAAAGCGUGGGGAGCAAACAGG